GACUCUCAGCAACGAAUAUCUCGGCUCUCGCAUCGAUGAAGAACGUAGCGAAAUGCGAUACCUGGUGUGAAUUGCAGAAUCCCGCGAACCAUCGAGACUUUGAACGCAAGUGGCGCCCGAGGCCACUUGGCCGAGGGCACGCCUGCCUGGGCGUCA
rnacentral:rRNA from 16 species